rnacentral:rRNA from 1 species
AACGCGAAGAACCUUACCUAGACUUGACAUCUCCUGCAUUACUCUUAAUCGAGGAAGUCCCUUCGGGGACAGGAUGACAGGUGGUGCAUGGUUGUCGUCAGCUCGUGUCGUGAGAUGUUGGGUUAAGUCCCGCAACGAGCGCAACCCUUAUUGUUAGUUGCCAUCAUUAAGUUGGGCACUCUAGCGAGACUGCCUGGGUUAACCGGGAGGAAGGUGGGGAUGACGUCAAAUCAUCAUGCCCCUUAUGUCUAGGGCUACACACGUGCUACAAUGGUCGGUACAAUAAGACGCAAGCCCGCGAGGGGGAGCAAAACUGGAAAACCGAUCUCAGUUCGGAUUGUAGGCUGAAACUCGCCUACAUGAAGCUGGAGUUGCUAGUAAUCGCGAAUCAGCAUGUCGCGGUGAAUACGUUCCCGGGCCUUGUACACACCG